UUGAAGUCAUUGUGGCCUUAUAUUCACACAUGCUGGCUUUUGCUCUAUCAUUUCCAAAAACUCAAAGUGAAUAGUGUAAAACAUAGAAUGAAAGCAGGAGUCGCCUGGAUAUCUCUGUCCAAUAUUUGGAGGAAGACUUCUGGGAAAUGGCUGGCAGUUCACAAUGUCUAUUGAAGCAAAUGAACUCUGUAAAAUGAGAGAUUUGCAAGAAUCCUUAAAAUUUCUGCAAUUAAAGAAUGACCAGGCAGUACUCUUUGAAAAUUGGAGACCAUUUGCACCUGCUCUCUGUUGAGGAAAGUGAAUAAUAGGGUGCCCUCAAGGAAUUUCGAAGGUAUCACUCAACAGAAACUUUUGUGUCUGAAGAAAACUAGAUCAUUUUAUCAUGGUAGGCAUAGUGAUAUGUUUGCUUUAAUAAAAUGCCAUAUUUCUGCCUUUAAUCUCUUGUCAACCAGCUAUU